rnacentral:rRNA from 1 species
GACGAAUGCUGGCUGCGUGCUUAACACAUGCAAGUCGAACGGUGAAGGAGAGCUUGCUCUCCGGAUCAGUGGCGAACGGGUGAGUAACACGUGGGCAACCUGCCCCUCACUCUGGGAUAACGCCGGGAAACCGGCGCUAAUACCGGAUACGACCAGGCGCGACAUCUCGCCUGGUGGAAAGAAUUUCGGUGAGGGAUGGGCCCGCGGCCUAUCAGCUAGUUGGUGGGGUAACGGCCCACCAAGGCGACGACGGGUAGCCGGCCUGAGAGGGCGACCGGCCACACUGGGACUGAGACACGGCCCAGACUCCUACGGGAGGCAGCAGUGGGGAAUAUUGCGCAAUGGGCGAAAGCCUGACGCAGCGACGCAGCGUGAGGGACGACGGCCUUCGGGUUGUAAACCUCUUUCAGCGGGGACGAAGCGAAAGUGACGGUACCCGCAGAAGAAGCACCGGCUAACUACGUGCCAGCAGCCGCCGUAAGAC